UCCGGUAUAGUGUAACGGCCAACAUACCUCGUUUUCACCGAGGAGCUCGGGGUUCGAUUCCCCCGUACCGGAG